GUGCUUGCUUGGCAGUACAUAUAAUAAAUUGGAUACGAUACAGAAGAUUAGCAUGGCCCCUGCAGAGGAUGACCCAUAGGUGUGGGCGUUUCCAUAUUUUA